rnacentral:rRNA from 1 species
UACAGAGGUGGCAAGCGUUGUUCGGAAUUACUGGGCGUAAAGGGCGUGUAGGCGGUCCGGUAAGUCCGCUGUGAAAGUCGGGGGCUCAACCCUCGAAUGCCGGUGGAUACUGUCGGGCUAGAGUGCGGAAGAGGCGAGUGGAAUUCCUGGUGUAGCGGUGAAAUGCGCAGAUAUCAGGAGGAACACCAAUUGCGAAGGCAGCUCGCUGGGACGUUACUGACGCUGAGACGCGAAAGCGUGGGGAGCAAACAGG